GCCCUAGUCUGAUGAGUAUUCCGUACCCACUAUUCUAUUUUGGUAUCCGUAAAUAGGCAUACAGUAAAUUGCAAUUGCUUACAUUUUCUUUCAACUAUUUGAAGGGUUUUGUAUAGUUGCAUGUUUAUUUGUACCAUUUGGAGAGUAGCCAACCAAUGCCAUUCUGAUUUGUAUAUAGUCCAAUUGCUAAACUAUAUAGACUGCAUAAACAUGCAUCCAUUAAUUAAACUUAAAUUAAAAUGUUGAUUACUGGACGUACAUUCAACUGCAGUCUAGCACUACUACUCCUAUUCAGAGAAUAUGCCAUUACUCAUCAAAACCAGGUUGGAAUGUGUUGGAAAAUCCCUCAGCCAUAACCCUAAAGGAUAUGUGUGCAUUCAACUUCAUUCAAAGGCUCAGACUGAUCCAUCAACAAGUUGCACAGGCUCAAUUUUCCGUCAAACUUUUGGGGCACUGGGCAAAUUUGAGGUCUUGUGAGCUUAAACUUGAACUUGUGCAACUUCCAGCACGCGUUUACAGUGAACGCUGAGGCUGUACCCUGACGCUGUAGCCAAAAGGCUAUUUGAGCAUAAUGUUGGCCUACCAACAAAACCAUUAGAGCAAAUCCAAUAGCAGUUUCACAUGGAAAUAGCUUUUGAUUUCUAUGAAGUCGCCUAUAUUCAGGCCUACAUUGCAUGAGACUUUUUAAAACGUUUUUACGUUAUGAAAGGCUUGAUAUAAAAAUGUUUUAACUUGGUCUGUAACACCACGGGCCAAAUAGGUGACUGUAAAUUGCAUUGUGUUGUGUUCCAUGAUGCAAGAAGCCACUUAACAAAAUAAAACAUUAUUACCAUACAGAGAAUUAGACAAUGGAUUAUGUGCCUGUCUCAAAAUACAACACAUAAGACAAACUUUUUUUUUUUUUACCUCUCUGGCUUUCAAAAGACAGCUUGAAAUGCAGCCUACAGGUUUAUACACUAACAUCAACAAAUGUGCACAAGCAUGGCUCAGCGCUGGAGAAGCACCUGACUGCAGUGUGCAGUUCGGGGCCCGGGCUCAAUAUGUGGCGGAGUCCAACGCGUUUAACCAGAACCCUUCCCGUCUCCUUCAAGGUCAGCCAAGUUGAGGUAAACAUCGACGGUGUCAACGAAACUUAAUCUUCAUCGAACCUAACCUACGUGGAUAAAAAAUAUAAACCAUGUAAGUGAGACUGUCAUUAUGCAUAAUGUACGUCGUAAUAUUCCUAUACCAGUGCAGUGGUAUAUUUUUACAUGACCAACUACCGCACCGAUGUUAGCAUAGCUUUCAUUAGCACCCAUUUGCACGUGAGCAAGCUAAUUGCUCACAAUGAGCGAAUCUUUACUUGGACACAUUUUCCUACAUGAGCAGUAAAGCCUAUUUCUUCAAUGUAUGCCUUGUUGUGUUUGACUGGCUCUAAAUGUGUAUUGUUGGAGCCAUUUACCUUAGUUACACAUAGCAAGUCUACACAGUAUAUACAAUAAUGAAAUCACCUGGUCCCAACAUACAUGGCAAGUCAAGAAAAGUAAUUGUAACUUGUCCACACAGCAAACCUAAGUAAAAUAAGAACAACUUCAAAACACAUUUACGAAGAAAGCAUACACAUUGCUUUGAAACGGUGUCCAAGGAAAGAUUUUUGGCAUGUGAGUGCAUUGAUGUGAGAAAUGGUGUGUUUGCAGUCGAAAAGAAAUGUUCUGGUCCAGCAAAACCCAUACAUGUUGUGAAAUACUUGUGCUAAUUCAGUUCCAACUGUGUUCAAAACUGUUAUGCAUGCUGGAGUAUAAAAAGCUGUGGAAUUGUACUUUUUUUCUUUACUUUCACAAACACUGUGUUCACAGAAACAGUUGGGUCUUCUUCAUCCAGAAAUAUAUUCCUGGGGGGUAUUAUUACUAUUUACGAUUAUCAUUAUUGUUAUAACUAUCAAACUUAACAACCUACUCUUUCUUUACGUACAGUACGCUCUGUACAUUGCAAUGGAAGCAAAGUGUGAUUUCACUGAGGUAUGUAUAAAUUAUGACGUUCUCAUCACUAGCGGAUAUAAUGUUUUUUGGGAUCCCCAUCCGAUUGUGUGAUUUUCUUUUUCAAAGGAAAACAUGCAGCAAAUUAGGCGACGGUGGUGCCUAGUUCUCCUGCAGAACAUUCCCAUGCUGAUGAUGUAGAAGACACCUCCCCAAGAUGUCACAUCAGCAUCCAGCUCUGCAGGAUCAGGUACUGUAUAGGCUAUUAGCUAAAGUAAGGUGCAUUCUUGUACACACAUCCCUAGAGGUUCCCUUACAUUACUUAAUGACCACAAUCUGUUUUCUUUCUUGACAAUACUGAAAACAAACUGCGUGGCGAGCUGUGAACUGGGAAGUGGAUGUUCUUCUAAGGGACACCCUAGAGGCAGCAAGGUGGUUGAACUCCAAACAUUUAAAUCUACUGUUUCCCUCCCUAGAAAAUGGCUGUCUUUGCCUCUUUUUAGGAGCAGGAGUAAAGCCAUUUUUGAGCAGUGGUCAAACCUUGUUUUUGUCUGCUGUGUUAACACAAUUAAUAAUUGAAACAAUUAUGUUGUGUAAAGAUGAUGUAGAAGUCACCCGAGUCUCUGAUCUCUUUACUGGAGCUGGUAUAACUUAAUGUACAAAGCUUGUCAGUAUGUCUAUAUGGUAUUAUAUGCGGGCGAUUCCCUGAUCCACCUCUACGCAGACAACACCAUUCUGUAUACUUCUGGCCCUUCCCUGGACACUAUCAAACCUCCAAACGAGCUUCAAUGCCAUACAACACUCCUUCCAUGGCCUCCAACUGCUCUUAAACGCUAGUAAAACCAAAUGCAUGCUUUUGAACCAUUUGCUGCCUGCACCCGCACGCCCGACUAGCAUCACCACCCUGGAUGGUUCCGACCUAGAAUAUGUGGACAUGUAUAAGUACCUAGGUGUCUGGCUAGACUGUAAACUCUCCUUCCAGACUCCUAUCAAACAUCUCCAAUCCAAAAUCAAAUCUAGAAUCGGGUUUCUAUUUCAAACCGUCGGCUUUCUACUUCAAACCGUCCCCUCGCCCAAACCCGGGCGCGAACCAGGGACCCUCUGCACACAUCAACAACGGUCACCCAUGAAGCAUCGUUACCCAUCGCUCCACAAAAGCCGCGGCCCUUGCAGAGCAAGGGGACCCACUACUUCAAGGUCUCAACAAGACAAGAUUGAAACGCUAUUUAACGCGCACCACCGCUAACUAGCUAGCAGUUUCACAUCCGUUACACUUGUAUACCAUGGGUUUGACACAGUGUAUACAAAACAUUAGGACACCUGCUCUUUCCAUGACAGACCGACCUGGUGAAUCCAGGUGAAAGCUAUGAUCCCUUUUUGAUGUCACUUGUUAAAUCCACUUCAAUCAGUGUAGAUAAAGGGGAGGAAACUGGUUAAAGAAGGAUUUGGUCGUAGGUGCCAGGCGCACCAGUUUGUGUCAAGCACUGCAAUGCUGCUGGGUUUUUCACGCUAAACAGUUUUCCGUGUUAAUCAACAAUCGUCCACCACCCUAGGAACAUCCCGUCAACUUGACACAGCUGUGGGAAGCAUCGGAUGGGGGUGCAACUCUAUUAGGAAGGUGUUUAUGUUUAGUAUACUCAGUGUAUGUGUACCUAUGUUAGCAAAUUGUGUAAGCAAAAAUUACAGUAACACACCAUGUGUUAACCUAUUAUGACUGGAGCAGACCAGCCCUGCUGGCUUUGUGUGAAGGUUUUGGUUCCAGCCCAGCACACCUAACACACCUUAUUCAAUUUAUCAAACCUAAUUAGUUGAUCAUUUAAGUGUGCUAUUGCUGGGCUGGAAUAUAAAUCUGCUCACUCAGUGGAGCAAGGUUGGCCACUGUUGGUAUGGACUUUUUUUUUUCUCACCUGAAAUGAUGCUCUGGUGAUGAUGGCCAAGGGGGUGGCAGGGUAGCCUAGUGGUUAGAGCGGUGGACUAGUUCAAAUCCCUAACCUAGUGGUUAGAGCUGCAAGAUAUAAUUCCUGUGCCAUUAUUUUAUAUUAUGUGAUUUUAUAGUAAGAAGAUUAUAAGUUAGCUGAAUAAAAUAUAAAGGAUCUUUUUUCCCAUUCCGGAGCAAGUGAAGUGGCUAUGUUGAGCGUAAAAGUUAAUAUUUGAAACUUAUCUAGCAUAUAGGACCUAUUUGGCAACUUUAGUUUUGAGUGAUACUAACCUCAGAAUGUCUUAGAAUCAAAAACGUAUAUGGGCUGCAUGAUGAUGAUGAUAAUAAUAGGCUAUUUGGAAAAAGCCUUGCCCCAGGCACAGCUGUUCUCUCAUCAAGUGAUCAUAUUGUCAUCCAUCAAGACUAUUCUCAAUUUAAAAAAUGUUUUACUAAUAUGUAAAAUUAGUUUACAUUUAGAAUGGCCCAUUAUCAAGUGGGCAGGGGGGAAAUUGUCAGCAGUAUGCACUCCAAUAGCAAAUAGAGGCCGCUUUCCCACCAGUUCGUUGUUCAAUGAUGCUGGGUAGGCUUCUUCGGUUUUAUAGCAGAGCAUGUGCUUAAUAUGAGCAGCUGAGAAAUAAACAAGAAAUAUAGUAGCAGCUGGGAUCCUCUUAUUUUUAGUGGCAACCAUCAAAACUCUGCUUUCAAACAUGAUUGCAUAUAGAAUUUCUGGUUUAUAAGAACACUUAUUUCACUCCACGCAUCAACUACCGUUUUUGGCGCAUGCUCUCGCUGCACAACCAGUGAUAUUCCACCCAAACUCUGUACGCCAUGGGCUCGCCCACCGUGUUCCCGCGGCUUUCCAAGUGCUUAAUUUGGUACGCCAAGUAAAAAUCUGUUCGUGAACAUCGAUAGUAACCUUUUCAGAAGGAAACAUAUUUCACUAUUCAACUGUUGACAGCCCCUAUCUCUGCAUGCUCGAGAGAGAAAGGAGAUGGACAUGUGCGGUGGGGAGAUAUUCUGUAUAGCUAAAGAUAAUGUGUCAGCCUAUUAUUUAUUAAAAUAUACAAAAAUCCCUAUUACUAUGCUUUUCAAAAUCAAAUCAAGUUCACUAUAAUUGUAGGCCAACUCUAUAAGACAACCUACACAAUCAAUGAACCAAAAGCAUCGCCUAAGCUUAUAUGUUCUCUCCCAGAUUCAUGGAUAUAAAGUUUGGAGCAUGGUAUUAGGUAAGCAGUCCAUCCGGUAUAAAUAAUAAUACAGUCCAAACUCAAAGGCGAUUAUUAUCAUUUGUUUAAUUUUGGAGUACAAGCUAAACUAAUUUAGCACCAAAGAUGUCUUAAAUCAGUUUUUAUGUAUGUUUUUCUGCCAUGCAUAAUAUGUGGUAGGCUAUGUAUUGUAUAUUGGCAUAAUCACGAUCUGAAUUUCGCAUAUAUUCUUUUCAGGCAUGGCAAGAGAAGUAGGUGAACCCAUUGAAAUUACCUGGAUUUAUGCAUAAAUUGGUCAUAAAAUUUGAUCUGAUCUUUAUCUAAACCAGAACAAUAGACACACAUCGUGUGCUUAAACUAAUAACACACAAAUUGUUGAAUGCUUUUGGUCUAUAUUGAAUACAUCAUUUAAAAAUUCCAAGUGUAGGUUGGAAACAGUAUGUGAACCCCGAGGCUAAUGACUUCUCCAAAAGCUAAUUGGAGUCGCGUCAGCUAACCUGGAGUUAAAUCAAUGAGACGAGAUUGGAGAUGUUGGUUUAGAGCUGCCUUUCCCUAUAAAAAACACUCUCAAAAUUUGAGUUUGCUAUUCACAAGAAACAUUGCCUGAUGUGAACCAUGCCCCGAACAGAUCUCAGAAGACCUAAGAUUAAGAAUAGUUGACUUGCAUAAAGCUGGAAAGGGUUACAAAAGUAUCCCUAAAAGCCUUUAUGUUCAUCAGUCCACGGUAAGGCAAAUUGUCUAUAAAUGGAGAAAGUUCAGCACUGUUGUCCUGCGAAGAUGACUGCAAGAGCAAAGCCACUGCUGUCCAAAAAAACAUUGCUGUAUGUCUGAAGUUUGCAAAAGUGCACUUGGAUGCUCUUGAGGUCAUGCAUCUCAAUCGGGUUGAGGUCAGGACUCUGACUGAGCCACUCCAGAAGGCAUAUUCUGUUGAAGCCAUUCUGUUGUUGAUUUACUUCUGUGUUUUGGGUUGUUGUCCUGUCGCAUUACCCAACUUCUGUUGACCUUCAAUUGGCAGUCAGAAAGCCUAACAUUCUUACGCAAAAUGUCUUGAUAAACUUGGGAAUUAAUUUUUCCAUCAACGAUCGCAAGCUGUCCAGGCCCUGAGGUAGCAAAGCAGCCCCAAACCAUGAUGCUCCCUCUACCAUACUUUACAAUUGGGAUGAGGUUUUGAUGUUGGUGUCCUGAAAAUCGAGUGCUGAGUAUCAGGCCAUUAGCGACCUGAUGGUCAUUAGUGAGUUGGGUACUAUCGAUUUGUGUCCAGAGUGCAUAAGAGGAGAUUACUCAGUGGUCACAUGGAAUUUUACUGUGACCAUGACUCAUGACUGCCGGUGUGGUGGUAAUGCAGUCACCGCAACAGCCCUAUUCAGUAAUCAUCUCACUUGUUAGCUGGCGGUAAACUAUGUGGCCAUUGACGACAGCAGUGUUGAUCAAAUGGAAAAAUAUAUUCUUAUACCACUUAUUGGUUUUUCUGAGCACAUCCCACAAAGAAGUUUAUCAUGUCUGCCUUAUCUGCUGCACCUAUUUUGCGGUUACGUUUAUAGUCAUGCAUACAGUCUGGUAUGGUGGUUCUCUCUUCUCCAGUAGCUCCAAGGCAUAGCGAUUGGUCUCCUCAACUAUUGUAUGUCUCAGUCAGAAACAACUUGAAGCACUCUGCCUCCAGAGGGAGAUGGCAAGGGUUUUUACACUGAAGACUGGGACUUAUUUACAGAUUUAUUCAGACGCUUAGCUAUGAGACUCGAUUUGGGCUCAGGUGCAUCCUGUUUCAAUUGAUCAUCCAUGAAUGGAGUCCACCUGUGGUAAAUUCAAUUGAUUGGAUAUGAUUUGUCUACAGUAUAUAAGUAUAUAAUACUUAUUUUCGACCAUAAUUUGCAAAUAAAUUCAUAAAUCCGACAAUGUGAUUUUUUUCUCUUUUUUUCUCUUUUUUUGUCUGUCAUAGUUGAAGUGUACCUAUGAUGAAAAUUACAGGCCUCUCAUCUUUUUAAGUGGGAGAACUUGCACAAUUGGUGGCUGACUAAAUACUUUUUUGCCCCACUGUAAGUAGGCUAGAAGGAUGUGUCUGCAUCGAGUAAUUGUCUCUGGCCCCCUCCCAAUUAUGGGGAGUGAUGAGCUCUACAGCAGGGUCUCACAACUCAAUCUCUGGUUGAAAACUGUAUUCUGCCCCUCCAAAAAGAUAGAAUUUGUAUACAAUUGGCCUCUAAACCUUCAAGCUGCAUACUGGACCCUAUUUCAACUAAACUACUGAAAGAGCUGCUUCCUGUGCUUGGUCCUCCUAUGUUGAACAUAAUAAUUCCUCUAAUUAUUUUGAAAAAAGCUGUUGCGCAGCAACUCACUCCCUUCUUGAAGACAAACAAUGUAUACAAAAUGCUUCAGUCUGGUUUUAGACCCCAUCAAGGCACUGAGACUGCACUUGUGAAGGCAGUACAUUACUUUUUAAUGGUGUCAGACUGAGGCUCUGCAUCUGUCCUCGUGCUCCUAGACCUUAGUGCUGCUCUUGAUACCACCGAUCACCACAUUCUUCUGGAGAGAUUGUAAACCGAAAUUGGUCUACACGGACAAGUUCUAGCCUAGUUUAGAUCUUAUCUGUCAAAGAUAUCAUUUUGUCUCUGGAUGGUUUGUCCUCUGACAAAUCAACUGUACAUUUCAGUGUUCCUCAAGGCUCCGUUUUAAGACCACUACUGUUUUCACUAUAUGUUUUACCUCUUGGUGAUGUCAUUCGGAAACAUGUUAACUUUCACUGCUAUGCAGACGACACACAGCUGUCAAUGAAUCAUGGUG